rnacentral:rRNA from 1 species
GCCCGCGGUGAUAGCACGUUUAAUACAUCAGUUCCUGACGGACUACUGAAGUUAAGCAACGUUGCGCGUGGUUGGUAUGUGGUGGGGUGACUAUCAGGGCAAUCCCUGCCCCACUCAAGCU